CGAACGCUGGCGGCGCGCCUAACACAUGCAAGUCGAACGAGCGAGAGAGAGCUUGCUUUCUCGAGCGAGUGGCGAACGGGUGAGUAACGCGUGAGGAACCUGCCUCAAAGAGGGGGACAACAGUUGGAAACGACUGCUAAUACCGCAUAAGCCCACGGGUCGGCAUCGACCAGAGGGAAAAGGAGCAAUCCGCUUUGAGAUGGCCUCGCGUCCGAUUAGCUAGUUGGUGAGGUAACGGCCCACCAAGGCGACGAUCGGUAGCCGGACUGAGAGGUUGAACGGCCACAUUGGGACUGAGACACGGCCCAGACUCCUACGGGAGGCAGCAGUGGGGAAUAUUGCACAAUGGGGGAAACCCUGAUGCAGCGACGCCGCGUGGAGGAAGAAGGUCUUCGGAUUGUAAACUCCUGUUGUUGGGGAAGAUAAUGACGGUACCCAACAAGGAAGUGACGGCUAACUACGUGCCAGCAGCCGCGGUAAAACGUAGGUCACAAGCGUUGUCCGGAAUUACUGGGUGUAAAGGGAGCGCAGGCGGGAAGACAAGUUGGAAGUGAAAUCUAUGGGCUCAACCCAUAAACUGCUUUCAAAACUGUUUUUCUUGAGUAGUGCAGAGGUAGGCGGAAUUCCCGGUGUAGCGGUGGAAUGCGUAGAUAUCGGGAGGAACACCAGUGGCGAAGGCGGCCUACUGGGCACCAACUGACGCUGAGGCUCGAAAGUGUGGGUAGCAAACAGGAUUAGAUACCCUGGUAGUCCACACCGUAAACGAUGAUUACUAGGUGUUGGAGGAUUGACCCCUUCAGUGCCGCAGUUAACACAAUAAGUAAUCCACCUGGGGAGUACGACCGCAAGGUUGAAACUCAAAGGAAUUGACGGGGGCCCGCACAAGCAGUGGAGUAUGUGGUUUAAUUCGACGCAACGCGAAGAACCUUACCAAGUCUUGACAUCCCUUGACAGGCAUAGAAAUAUGUUUUCUCUUCGGAGCAAGGAGACAGGUGGUGCAUGGUUGUCGUCAGCUCGUGUCGUGAGAUGUUGGGUUAAGUCCCGCAACGAGCGCAACCCUUAUGGUCAGUUACUACGCAAGAGGACUCUGGCCAGACUGCCGUUGACAAAACGGAGGAAGGUGGGGAUGACGUCAAAUCAUCAUGCCCUUUAUGACUUGGGCUACACACGUACUACAAUGGCGUUAGACAAAGAGAAGCGAGACCGCGAGGUGGAGCAAAACUCAGAAACAACGUCCCAGUUCGGACUGCAGGCUGCAACUCGCCUGCACGAAGUCGGAAUUGCUAGUAAUCGUGGAUCAGCAUGCCACGGUGAAUACGUUCCCGGGCCUUGUACUCAACGCCCGUCA
rnacentral:rRNA from 1 species